rnacentral:rRNA from 1 species
GUGACAGCCCCGUACACAAAAAUGCACAUAUUGUGAGCUCGAUGAGUAGGGCGGGACACGUGGUAUCCUGUCUGAAUAUGGGGGGACCAUCCUCCAAGGCUAAAUACUCCUGACUGACCGAUAGUGAACCAGUACCGUGAGGGAAAGGCGAAAAGAACCCCGGCGAGGGGAGUGAAAAAGAACCUGAAACCGUGUACGUACAAGCAGUGGGAGCACGCUUAGGCGUGUGACUGCGUACCUUUUGUAUAAUGGGUCAGCGACUUAUAUUCUGUAGCAAGGUUAACCGAAUAGGGGAGCCGAAGGGAAACCGAGUCUUAACUGGGCGUUAAGUUGCAGGGUAUAGACCCGAAACCCGGUGAUCUAGCCAUGGGCAGGUUGAAGGUUGGGUAACACUAACUGGAGGACCGAACCGACUAAUGUUGAAAAAUUAGCGGAUGACUUGUGGCUGGGGGUGAAAGGCCAAUCAAACCGGGAGAUAGCUGGUUCUCCCCGAAAGCUAUUUAGGUAGCGCCUCGUGAAUUCAUCUCCGGGGGUAGAGCACUGUUUCGGCAAGGGGGUCAUCCCGACUUACCAACCCGAUGCAAACUGCGAAUACCGGAGAAUGUUAUCACGGGAGACACACGGCGGGUGCUAACGUCCGUCGUGAAGAGGGAAACAACCCAGACCGCCAGCUAAGGUCCCAAAGUCAUGGUUAAGUGGGAAACGAUGUGGGAAGGCCCAGACAGCCAGGAUGUUGGCUUAGAAGCAGCCAUCAUUUAAAGAAAGCGUAAUAGCUCACUGGUCGAGUCGGCCUGCGCGGAAGAUGUAACGGGGCUAAACCAUGCAC